UACGAAGGGGGCUAGCGUUGCUCGGAAUCACUGGGCGUAAAGGGUGCGUAGGCGGGUCUUUAAGUCAGGGGUGAAAUCCUGGAGCUCAACUCCAGAACUGCCUUCGAUACUGGAGAGCUUGAGUCCGGGAGAGGUGAGUGGAACUGCGAGUGUAGAGGUGAAAUUCGUAGAAUAUUCGCAAGAACACCAGUGGCGAAAGGCGGCUCACUGGCCCGGUACUGACGCUGAGGUGCGAAAGCGUGGGGAGCAAACAGG
rnacentral:rRNA from 1 species